rnacentral:misc_RNA from 1 species
UCCGUUUUGUCAACGGCAGUCUCUCUAGAGUGCCCAACUUAAUGCUGGCAACUAAAGAUAAGGGUUGCGCUCGUUGCGGGACUUAACCCAACAUCUCACGACACGAGCUGACGACAGCCAUGCAGCACCUUGCACUCUGCCAGGUUUUACCCUGGAGGCCCCAUCUCUGGGGUUGUCAGAGGCAUUCUAGCCCAGGUAAGGUUCUUCGCGUUGCGUCGAAUUAAACCACAUGCUCCACCGCUUGUGCGGGUCCCCGUCAAUUCCUUUGAGUUUUAAUCUUGCGACCGUACUCCCCAGGCGGGAUGCUUAAUGCGUUAGCUGCGCCACUGAAGGGUAAACCCACCAACGGCUAGCAUCCAUCGUUUACGGCGUGGACUAC